CAGUGUCGGAAACAGGAAAGUUUUAAUAAAAAGUUUUGAUAAAAAGUAAAAUAACAAAACUUUAAAUNCACCAAAUUCUCUCAGGGAACCCCAGAAGGCUCCCAGGAGAUGCCACAAGGUCGGGGGGAAUCCCAGGGUGCUGCUGAGGGAGGGCUGGGACAGCUGAGACUGCUCAGAGGAGAAAAGCAACAGGAGAAGGGUCCAGGAGGGAGCCAGGGCCACCAGAUCCCAGGGGAACACCCUGAGAUCCCACAGGAACCUCCAGCAGAUCCCACAGGAACCUCCAGGAGAUCCAACAAGAACAUCCAGGAGAUCCCAUGGGAAGCAUCCACCAAAUUCCAUGGAAAGCUCCAGAAGAUCCCACAGGAAGCAUCCAGCAGAUCUCAGAGGAGCCUCCAACAGAUCCCAUGGGAACACCCACCAGAUCCCACACGGACCUCCAGAAGAUCUCAUGGGAACAUCCCGAAGAUCCCAUGGGAAGCAUCCACCAAAUUCCAUGGAAAGCUCCAGAAGAUCUCACAGGAACACCUACCAGAUCCCACAGGAACCUCCAGCAGAUCCCACAGAAACAUUCAGCAGAUCCCAUGGGAAUCCACCAAAUUCCACGUAAACAUCCAGAAUAUCCCACAGGAACAUCCAAAAGAUCUCAUGGGAACAUCCCGAAGAUCCCAUGGGAAGCAUCCACCAAAUCCCAUGGAAAGCUCCAGAAGAUCUCACAGGAACAACCAACAGAUCCCACAGGAACCCCCAGCAGAUCCCACGAGAACAUCCAGGAGAUCCAACAAGAACCUCCAGCAGAUCCCACAGGAACAUCCAGCAGAUCCAACAAGAACCUCCAGCAGAUCCCACAGGAAGCCCCAGCAGAUCCCACAGGAAGCCCCAGCUCCGGGAGCCGCUCUCUCUCCCCACAAUUAA
rnacentral:lncRNA from 1 species